UGUGCGACACGUUAUGCAUUAAAGCGAGUUUAGCAUCGAUUUACAGGUAAAAUUCUCGUGACACCCCUCGUCCUAACUGCAGGUUAGAGACAGAUUCACAAGAACUGGAUCAAUACCCGGGUCCGAAAGAGACUUGAACACAGAAACGACAGCUCGUAGCAGCCAAACCUGUUAAGAGAGCAUAUUACUCAAACAGAGAAUCUCACCAAACUCCUGGAGGUGAACCUGAAACCUGUUGGAGUAUUCGAUCAAAAGGUGAUUUACGGGGCUCCAGGAGACAGAGUUCCUCCUCCAGUGAACGCCCGCCGUACACAAAAGAGAAAGCGGGUGAUAGAAGAGGAAGAGGAGUAUGUGAAGAAGCCGCCCAAUGCCUUCAUGCUGUUUAGGCAGGAGCAGAGGCCCAAAGUUUUGGCCGACCUCAAAAACUCCGGUUGUGCGGCUG